GGACAGGUACCCAAGUGGCCAAAGGGGGCGGACUGUAAAUCCGCUGUCAACGACUUCGGGGGUUCGAAUCCCUCUCUGUCCA
rnacentral:tRNA from 1 species